rnacentral:tRNA from 1 species
UUCUAUUUAGUUUAAAAAAAAUGUAAGCUUGUCAAGCCUAAGAUAAAAUCUUAAUUUAAUAGAUA